CAGCAGCCGCGGGAAUACGUAGGGUGCAAGCGUUAUCCGGAAUUAUUGGGCGUAAAGAGCUCGUAGGCGGUUUGUCGCGUCUGCUGUGAAAACUGGAGGCUCAACCUCCAGCCUGCAGUGGGUACGGGCAGACUAGAGUGCGGUAGGGGAGAUUGGAAUUCCUGGUGUAGCGGUGGAAUGCGCAGAUAUCAGGAGGAACACCGAUGGCGAAGGCAGAUCUCUGGGCCGUAACUGACGCUGAGGAGCGAAAGCGUGGGGAGCGAACAGGAUUAGAGACCCGUGUAGUCCCUGUCUCUUAUAC
rnacentral:rRNA from 1 species